CGUGUAGGCGGCUUGGUAAGUCAGAUGUGAAAGCCCAGGGCUCAACCCUGGAAGUGCAUUUGAUACUGCCAUGCUUGAGUAUGGGAGAGGAGAGCGGAAUUCCCAGUGUAGAGGUGAAAUUCGUAGAUAUUGGGAGGAACACCCGUGGCGAAGGCGGCUCUCUGGACCAAUACUGACGCUGAGACGCGAAAGCGUGGGGAGCGAACAGGAUUAGAUACCCUGGUAGUCC
rnacentral:rRNA from 1 species